AGCAUCUGGUCUCCCAGGGCCCGACCAGGACCAACCCUGUUUAGCUUGAGGCCAGCCAGCAGCGGGCUGCAGGGUGCUAUACUGCUGUCGUUUUCCUCACUAACUCCCAGAAUAAUGUCCUCUCUGUGUGUUGAUUCAGCUGCUGGACCUGUUCAUGGUGUGGGACUGGUCUACGUACCUGGCUGACUACGGACAGCCCACCUCCAAGCCUCCGGGUCAACCCCCCACUGCACUAGCACUUUUGGAAAAAAUGAAGGACACCAGUAAGAAGAACAACAUAUUUUCUCAGUUCAGGAAGAAUGACCGAGACAAACAGAAGCUGAUUGAGACCGUGUGAAACAGCUGAGGAGCCUGGUCAAUGGAUGUCUCAACACUCCUAGAACAGAGAAUGGACAGACAGACACACAGAUGGACAGACAGACAGGGACACACACACACACACACACACACACACACACACUAACCAACCAUCACCUUUCAGUUUCACCAGAUUCGCUGCAUAUUGUAAAUAAGGGGAAGACGACA